GAUGAACGCUGGCGGCGUGCCUAAUACAUGCAAGUCGAGCGAACAGAUGAGGAGCUUGCUCCUCUGACGUUAGCGGCGGACGGGUGAGUAACACGUGGAUAACCUACCUAUAAGACUGGGAUAACUUCGGGAAACCGGAGCUAAUACCGGAUAAUAUAUUGAACCGCAUGGUUCAAUAGUGAAAGACGGUUUUGCUGUCACUUAUAGAUGGAUCCGCGCCGCAUUAGCUAGUUGGUAAGGUAACGGCUUACCAAGGCAACGAUGCGUAGCCGACCUGAGAGGGUGAUCGGCCACACUGGAACUGAGACACGGUCCAGAGUCCUACGGGAGGCAGCAGUAGGGAAUCUUCCGCAAUGGGCGAAAGCCUGACGGAGCAACGCCGCGUGAGUGAUGAAGGUCUUCGGAUCGUAAUACUCUGUUAUUAGGGAAGAACAAAUGUGUAAGUAACUAUGCACGUCUUGACGGUACCUAAUCAGAAAGCCACGGCUAACUACGUG
rnacentral:rRNA from 1 species